AGCGAACGCUGGCGGCAGGCCUAACACAUGCAAGUCGAACGAACUCUUCGGAGUUAGUGGCGGACGGGUGAGUAACACGUGGGAACGUGCCUUUAGGUUCGGAAUAACUCAGGGAAACUUGUGCUAAUAACGAAUGUGCCCUUCGGGGGAAAGAUUUAUCGCCUUUAGAGCGGCCCGCGUCUGAUUAGCUAGUUGGUGAGGUAACGGCUCACCAAGGCGACGAUAAGUAGCUGGUCUGAGAGGAUGGCCAGCCACACUGGGACUGGGACACGGCCCAGACUCCUACGGGAGGCAGCAGUGGGGAAUCUUGCGCAAUGGGCGAAAGCCUGACGCAGCCAUGCCGCGUGAAUGAUGAAGGUCUUAGGAUUGUAAAAUUCUUUCACCGGGGACGAUAAUGACGGUACCCGGAGAAGAAGCCCCGGCUAACUUCGUGCCAGCAGCCGCCGUAA
rnacentral:rRNA from 1 species